AUUGAACGCUGGCGGCAGGCCUAACACAUGCAAGUCGAACGAGUGGCGGACGGGUGAGUAAUGUCUGGGAAACUGCCUGAUGGAGGGGGAUAACUACUGGACACGGUAGCUAAUACAGCAUACCAUCGGAUGUGCCCACAUGGGAUUAGCUAGUAGGUGGGGUAACGGCUCACCUAGGCGACGAUCCCUAGCUGGUCUGAGAGGAUGACCAGCCACACGUGAACUGAGAGACGGUCCAGACUCCUACGGGAGGCAGCAGUGGGGAAUAUUGCACAAUGGGCGCAAGCCUGAGGCAGCCAUGCCGCGUGUAUGAAGAAGGCCUUCGGGUUGUAAAGUACUUUCAGCGGGGAGGCGUUACUCGCAGAAGAAGCACCGGCUAACUCCGUGCCAGCAGCCGCGGUAAUUC
rnacentral:rRNA from 1 species